rnacentral:rRNA from 1 species
AUUGAACGCUGGCGACAUGCUUUACACAUGCAAGUCGAACGGUAACAGGGUGCUUGCACCGCUGACGAGUGGCGAACGGGUGAGUAAUGCGUCGGAACGUGCCGAGUAGUGGGGGAUAACGCAGCGAAAGUUGUGCUAAUACCGCAUACGUACUGAGGUAGAAAGUGGGGGACCUUCGGGCCUCACGCUAUUCGAGCGGCCGACGUCUGAUUAGCUAGUAGGUGAGGUAAAGGCUCACCUAGGCGACGAUCAGUAGCGGGUCUGAGAGGAUGAUCCGCCACACUGGGACUGAGACACGGCCCAGACUCCUACGGGAGGCAGCAGUGGGGAAUUUUGGACAAUGGGCGAAAGCCUGAUCCAGCCAUGCCGCGUGUCUGAAGAAGGCCUUCGGGUUGUAAAGGACUUUUGUCAGGGAGGAAAUCCCUAGUGCUAAUAACACUGGGGGAUGACAGUACCUGAAGAAUAAGCACCGGCUAACUACGUACCAGCCGCCGCAGUAA